rnacentral:misc_RNA from 1 species
GAUGAAGAACGCAGCGAAAUGCGAUAAGUAAUGUGAAUUGCAGAAUUCAGUGAAUCAUCGAAUCUUUGAACGCACAUUGCGCCCGCGAGUAUUCUCGCGGGCAUGCCUGUCCGAGCGUCAUUUCAACCCUCAGGGCCCGCCUGCUUGCAGGCGCGGCGCUGGUGUUGGGGAUCGGCUACCCUGCCGUCCCCCAAAUACAGUGGCGGUCUCGCUGCAGCCUCCCCUGCGUAGUAGCAACACUCGCAUGCGGAGCGCGGCGCGGCCACGCCGUAAAACCCCCGACUUUCUGAACGUUGACCUCGGAUCAGGUAGGAAUACCCGCUGAACUUAAUCAUAUCAAUAAGCGGAGGA